UACGUAGGGGGCAAGCGUUGUCCGGAUUUAUUGGGCGUAAAGAGCGUGUAGGCGGUUUGGUAGGUCCGCUGUGAAAACUCGAGGCUCAACCUCGAGACGCCGGUGGAAACCAUCAGACUAGAGUCCGGAAGAGGAGAGUGGAAUUCCUGGUGUAGCGGUGAAAUGCGCAGAUAUCAGGAGGAACACCUAUGGCGAAAGCAGGCUUCUGGGCCAUCACUGACGCUGAUCUGCGAAAGCUAGGGGAGCAAACAGG
rnacentral:rRNA from 1 species